rnacentral:misc_RNA from 1 species
GAGGGAACUGGCUCUUCUUUCUUUUUUCUCAGAAUCGUAAUAUAAGGGACCUGAUUACAUGAAGUCUUUCAGUAACACUGCUUCUGACUGCCUGAGUGAUGAAUGUGUUAUAGCUUUACUUGUCUUCAUGCCUGCUAGUUAACAGUACUGGACAGACCCCCUACGACCCUCCUUCAUUCUUCUUGGCUACAUUGUGAUAUUGGUGACCUAAAGCUCUCAAUUUUUAACAACAUUUAUAUGUGUGUAAGAAACAUAAAACAAGCCAUAGCAAUAAUUUUAUCAUUAUUCAUUAGUAGCUUUAAUGUUUAUUUUUCGUUUUGUUAUUGGUUUGAUAACUUAUCGUACAUUUUUCUUUACAUUAUUUUUAAAUUAUCAUCUUUUUCAUGAAAAAUUAUGUUAUUGAACUAAAUGUACUGAUAUUCAUUUUGUAGAGACACAAUCUCAAAAAGAUUUGAAGUAAAUCUUUUGAAUGAAUAUGUUGCAUGUCAUAGUUUUGAAUAGUGAUUAUGAUCGAAAGGAAAACUAAAAACAUUCAAUUCUGUAGACAGCUAUAUAGCUAAAAGCUGAUAUUUGAAAUCUUUGUUCAUAGAAUGAUCACCAUGCUAUUUAAACACAGCUGCCAUUUACAAAUUGUAAUUGACUGAAAAUUUUGUGAAAAAAAUCAAGUUGUUUCAUUUGGUAUCCAUGUGGUUGUGAUUCUAUUACAUAUUUUCUAUGCAUAUGACAUAGUGACAUAUAUGACUUAGUAACAUGUAUGUCAACUGUAUGACACAGCUGUCAAAUCAAAUGGAUGUAUUGAAAAGUAUUAGAAUUUGCUUGUAACUGAAAGCUCUUUUAUUUGUAGAUUACAGACAAUGUUUAUGAAUUAAGUGUAUUCAUUAAUACCAUGUAUUAUGAUAAUACUGAAAAAUUAAAAGUACUGAUCAGUGAUCUAACUUAAUGGUUCAAACAUUGUAAUGUGACUGUAUUAUAAUCAUAGAAUACAUUGUUUGAAG